GCUCGCUUUGGCAGAGCACACGCUAAAACUGGAACGAUACAGAGAACAUUAGCAUGCUCCCUGCUCAAGGAUGGCACGCAAAUUCAUAAAGCAUUCCCUAUUUUG
rnacentral:snRNA from 1 species